rnacentral:rRNA from 1 species
GUGGGGAAUAUUGCACAAUGGGCGCAAGCCUGAUGCAGCCAUGCCGCGUGUAUGAAGAAGGCCUUCGGGUUGUAAAGUACUUUCAGCGGGGAGGAAGGCGAUAAGGUUAAUAACCUUGUCGAUUGACGUUACCCGCAGAAGAAGCACCGGCUAACUCCGUGCCAGCAGCCGCGGUAAUACGGAGGGUGCAAGCGUUAAUCGGAAUUACUGGGCGUAAAGCGCACGCAGACGGUCUGUCAAGUCGGAUGUGAAAUCCCCGGGCUCAACCUGGGAACUGCAUUCGAAACUGGGAGGCUAGAGUCUUGUAGAGGGGGGUAGAAUUCCAGGUGUAGCGGUGAAAUGCGUAGAGAUCUGGAGGAAUACCGGUGGCGAAGGCGGCCCCCUGGACAAAGACUGACGCUCAGGUGCGAAAGCGUGGGGAGCAAACAGGAUUAGAAACCCGGGUAGUCC